rnacentral:rRNA from 1 species
GACGAACGCUGGCGGCGUGCUUAACACAUGCAAGUCGAGCGGUAAGGCCUUUCGGGGUACACGAGCGGCGAACGGGUGAGUCACACGUGGGUGAUCUGCCCUGCACUUCGGGAUAAGCCUGGGAAACUGGGUCUAAUACCGGAUAUGACCUCCUAUCGCAUGGUGGGUGGUGGAAAGAUUUAUCGGUGCAGGAUGGGCCCGCGGCCUAUCAGCUUGUUGGUGGGGUAAUGGCCUACCAAGGCGACGACGGGUAGCCGACCUGAGAGGGUGACCGGCCACACUGGGACUGAGACACGGCCCAGACUCCUACGGGAGGCAGCAGUGGGGAAUAUUGCACAAUGGGCGAAAGCCUGAUGCAGCGACGCCGCGUGAGGGAUGACGGCCUUCGGGUUGUAAACCUCUUUCAGCAGGGACGAAGCGCAAGUGACGGUACCUGCAGAAGAAGCACCGGCUAACUACGU